rnacentral:lncRNA from 1 species
UGGGGGACUCUGUUGUCAGCACUGCCACGCACAGGUACAAGCAAGAAAUCCCAAUGUUGGCUUCUCCAUUGCUCCCUGUUGGAUUCACCUGUUCAGUCUUUCUUUACUAAUGACAAUAAGGAGCUGUUGGGCAACAGCCAUAUAGAGGUGGGAAACACAUGUGUGUGUCCAUGAAGAGAAAGAGCAGAGACUACUUAAAAAGGGAAAUGCCCUGAUGCACUAGAGAAAGAAGAAAUGAACCUGCAGAUUUUAUUCCUCACUGCAAGAUGACCCAUCUUAGGAAGGCAGAUUUGGCAAAACUGCUCAUCGGUCAAUCAGAAUUUGCAGUUCCCAUCUGCCACAAGCUGGGCCUUUGGCUGGAGAAGUAGCUGCAGGCUGUUGCUCUCCAAAGGAGCUCAGAAAUUAGGGUCUGUCUGCAUCACAGUGCCAGGAGUUCAUUUAUCUCUUUUUGGUAAGUAAAUGUAAUGUGGACACACCUGUAGUUUUUAUGAAGCCCUCCUUUAGGUGAGCAUCUAAGGUUCUUC